rnacentral:SRP_RNA from 1 species
GGCUGUCAUGGCCUAAAGGUUAUGAAGUGGUUCAUAUUUACGCCUCGCUUUCUCAUGGAAAACGUCGCCAAGGUGUCCCGUUCGAACCCUGUGGUGGUCAAUUUCUCUGGCCUGCGUAAGCGGCAUGUGAGAGUUACCUUAAGAGAUGAAUGAUUCUUCAGUUCGGCAACGAAGCAGAGACAUUCAAACCACGGGGUGGCGGUAUGGGAUUGCACCGAAGCGUCCUUGAGAAGACGGGGAUGUAAGAACACACGACAUAAGAUUUUUU